GGGUCGCCUGGGACGGGAGGAGCGGACCAAAGGAGACCAGGGAGGCGUCGCCAGGAUUCGCCCCUCCGGACCGGCCUUCCGCCGGCUGAAGAAGAGCCUUUGGAUCAGGGACUGCAGGUGGAGAUUCCUGCAUUGUGUGGGUUGGACUAGAUGAUCCUUGGGUCCCCUUACAACUCUGUAAUUGUAUGACAUGUUUAUGUGUAUGUAUGAAAUAUAGGAAUAUAUGAAAUAUUCUUUCAAUACAGUAUUUACUUGCAUUUGUUCUCUCGUUUUCCUUAUUUUUAUUUGUAAACUGCACUGAGUCCCCAUCAGGGGAAAAAUAACAAAUAAAUAAUCCUAGCAGUCUGUAACCCGACCCCGAAGGAAAAGGGAAAAAAGUGAGCAGCAUGUUUUCCUGCUUUUUUAAACUCAUAUCUUAUUUCAUGGGGGGGGUAUACAACAUUUCAAAACUGAAACACUCAAAAAGUGUGGCAGGUCUGCGGGCGUGAGAAUGGUGUCUGCAGGGGGCAGUUUCAGCAGAUUGAGCUCUGCUACUGAGAAUUUUUUUUGUAUGGGGACAGGGUGGAUGGAAUGUUAGAAAAAUGUUGGAAUGAAAUUACUUGGCUUUAGUAAAAAUGUUUAAAGAAUUAUGUAAGAAUAUUAUGGUUAUGAGAAGUUGGUAAAAAUAAGAUUUAAGUUUUAAGUUUCAAGGUUUUUAUAGUAAGAUAAGAUUAAAAUAGUUUAAGGUAAUGUAAUGACAGAAUUUUAUGAAAUAUGGAAAGGAUUUGGUGCAACAAUUAACAACUAGGAUACAAAAAAAAGGGAGGAGGAGGUCAAAGAAAGAAGGUAAUGACAGUUGAGGAUUUGAGAAUAAUGGAUUUGUUUUUAAAAGUUUGUGGUGUAUUUUUGUUUUUUUUUGAAUUUGUUUUUUUUUUGUAUUGUUGGAUGUGGUUUGUGUUUUUCUUUGUUCUUUCUUUGUUCUUUUUCUACUUUGUUUUCUUUUGUAACUAAAAAAAAAAAUUCCAAUAAAUA